rnacentral:tRNA from 1 species
GUCCCCUUCGUCUAGAGGCCUAGGACACCGCCCUCUCACGGGCGGUAACAGGGGGUUCGAAUCCCCCUAGGGGGACGCCA